AUCAGUGAAGAGGGGCUGUCUGUGUCCAAAGUAAGUAUUCCAUCUCUGGAAGCAACAGGGCCAUUUGCUGGGAGAGAGAUCAACUUGGCUUUUGAUGAUAUUAAUAUUCCUUCUGCGGCUGACAGCUUGCUCAUCGAAAAACAUAAGACACGUGAGAGCACCAUUCACCUGGGACAUGUUAAUUAUUUUACUGAUGUACCCCGUUCUGUCCUCCAGGAGGCACUUAAGUCUAAUUCUCUUACUAAGAGAGUAAAGACUGAAAAACUUAAUCAAGGGGGUGUCAUGUUAAGUGCCAGGAGGACUAACACAGAUGAAGAUAUAUUGUCCAAAGCUCAGCGUCUGGCAGCAAAGCGUAAUUUAGAAAUCAGUGAGUCUUCCUUCAUUUCUUUUGAUC
rnacentral:misc_RNA from 1 species